UGGGCACAACUGAAGCGACUUAGCAGCAGCAGCAGCAGGAUUAGAGGGCUUAGACAUCAGUAUAGCAUCCUGACUACAUAAAUUAAUAAGCUGAGGCCCAGCAGCCCCCAGGGCAAUGCUGUUUCAGUCCUCAGCGUGUUUCCUGGAGGAUGUGUGAAUGACACUGGGCUACCUUCUCCACCCCCCUUCCAAUCCUGCACUGCUGAUAUGGUGGCCCAGGGGUCUGUGAACUAUCAAGCCUUUCACACGCCCAGCCUUCUGAAAGCUUGCACAGCACAUCCCCAGCCUUGGGUUCUCAAAACAACAGUGCAAGAACUUAAAUUCCUUCUGGGAGAUAGAGUGUUUCAUUCUUAUUUAUGGAUGCAAAAUGGAGUAACAGUGAGAAAUAGUGCUUUUCCAAGGAUGCUCAGAUGGGACACUGGAAAUGGUCUUAGGAGUCACCCGAUUCAACCAUCCUCUUAUUGUGGGGAUCCCUUAACGAAGCAGCUUCUCCUGAUACAUUUCCUGGGCUCCAUUCUCCAGGUCUGCUAUCCUCCCAGGGCCGGCAGCUGCAGGGCUGGAACCGAGGGGACUGGCAGUGAUAAAUGCAGGGUCAGCUCAGUGCCUCGGCUCUGGGGGCUCUCAGGUCCAGGGAAUCCUGUCUGGGGACAAGGCUGGGCCCAGGUCUCAUGCCCAGGAGAGACGAAGCUUUGCUGAGUAGAGUUAGCUGCUCAAAAAAUCCUCCCUGGUGAAAACAUACGAGGAAGUGGAGGACACAGCAAAUGAGAAUGAGAUGCAGUCAUGCCCUCCAGGCUCCAGGAACGAGCUCCUUCAGCUGGAUCUAUCUGCAGGGCUCUUGAGCCGGCUCCUGGAAGUCCCAGCUGAGAAGCAGCCUCCAAAACACGGUGUUUCUGCAGCCCCUCUGAGGAACAGAGGACAAUGCUCUGUCCAACUGCAGACAUCCUUCUCCCCACAGAGGCCCUGUGAACAGCCCGCGACCUCGGUCCAAGCCCAUUAGUGAGCUGGGGCUCUAAGGUCAUGAAACUCAUUUCCAUCUGUCAAUUUCUUUAAUUAGGUGGGGAAUUGCAUUGACCGUCUGUGGACCUAGAGUACCCAAUCCAUCAUUUUUCCAACUUGGAGUAAACCAAAAUAAAAAUAUGCCAACUUGCAAGCUGAUACACCAACCCCGCCUCGAUGCUUUAAAAUAAUCAUUGCAACUGAAUGAGGAGUUUGAGUAAUAAUCUGUGCACUGCAUGCCAGAGCUGGCACGAUAUGCUUCACGGCACUUUAUUUCUAUCCAGGCUUCAGACUGCCAGCCUCAAAUCCUGCAGUCUGCACGAAACGCUACGAGCCUCAAGAGUCCUUUAUUUCCAAGCUCCU